AUUGAACGCUGGCGGCAGGCUUAACACAUGCAAGUCGAGCGAGCGGCGGACGGGUGAGUAAUGUCUGGGAAACUGCCUGAUGGAGGGGGAUAACUACUGGAAACGGUAGCUAAUACCGCAUACCAUCAGAUGUGCCCAGAUGGGAUUAGCUAGUAGGUGGGGUAAUGGCUCACCUAGGCGACGAUCCCUAGCUGGUCUGAGGGGAUGACCAUCCAGAGUGAAACUGAGCCAUGUUCCAGACUCCUACGGGAGGCAGCAGUGGGGAAAAUUGGACGAUGGGAGCAAGCCUGAUGAAGCCAUGCUGCGUGUGGGAAAAGGGCAUUCGGGUUGUAAAGCACUUUCAGCGAGGAGGCGUUACUCGCAGAAGAAGCACGGGCUAACUCCGUGCCAGCAGCCGCGGUAAUAC
rnacentral:rRNA from 1 species